ensembl:snRNA U2 U2 spliceosomal RNA
AUCGCUUCGCGGCCUGUUGGCUACAAUUAAAUGUGGUAUCUGUUGUUACCAGCUUACUAUCUGAUAAUGUCCUCUAUCCGAGGACAAUAUAGUAAAUGGAUUUUUGGAGCAGGGAGAUGGAGUAGGAGAUUGCUCUGUCCACCCCCUUGAUGGAAUUUUUUUUUUAAAUUAAGACAAAAACAAAAACUUACCACCU